rnacentral:rRNA from 1 species
AGCAGCCGCGGUAAUUCCAGCUCCAAUAGCGUAUAUUAAAGUUGUUGCAGUUAAAAAGCUCGUAGUUGAAUUUCGGGAUCAAUAUUUCGGUCAUGCCGUUGGUAUGCACUGUUAUCAUUGAUUUCUCACCUUCUAAAGAACCGUAAUGCCAUUAAUUUGGUGUUACGGGGAAUUAGGACUGUUACCUUGAAAAAAUUAGAGUGUUUAAAGCAGGCUCACGCUUGAAUACAUUAGCAUGGAAUAAUGAAAUAGGACAUCCGAUUCUAUUUUGUUGGUUUCUAGGAUCGACGUAAUGAUUAAUAGGGAUAGUUGGGGGCAUUAGUAUUCAAUUGUCAGAGGUGAAAUUCUUGGAUUUAUUGAAGACUAACUACUGCGAAAGCAUUUGCCAAGGAUGUUUUCAUUAAUCAAGAACGAAAGUUAGGGGAUCGAAGACGAUCAGAUACCGUCGUAGUCUUAACCAUAAACUAUGCCGACUAGGGAUCGGAUGAUGU